UAAAGUUUUCUUUAUUGGGGUUGCGGACAUAUCAUAACGAAGAGGUAUCGUAAUUGAAGAGGUUUGGAAAGACCCACCACAGAAGGUAAUAGUCCUGUAUGUUAAACGAGAAGACUUCAGAUAUGAUCCAGAGUACCACGGGACACGUGAAACCCUGUGGGAAGCAGGAGGGACCACCCUCCAAGGCUAAAUACUACCUAGUGACCGAUAGCGUAUAGUACCGUGAGGGAAAGGUGAAAAGAACCCCGGGAGGGGAGUGAAAUAGAACCUGAAACCCUGCACUUACAAGCUGUGGAAGCACAUUUCUUGUGUGACCGCGUACUUUUUGUAGAACGGGCCAACGAGUUACGUUAAGUAGCAAGGUUAAGCACUUAAGGUGCGGAGCCGUAGCGAAAGCGAGUUUUAACUGAGCGUUCAGUUACUUGACGUAGACCCGAAACCGGGCGACCUACCCAUGAGCAGGAUGAAGCGAAAGUAAAAUUUCGUGGAGGUCCGAACCCACGAGCGUUGAAAAGCUCGGGGAUGACUUGUGGGUAGCGGUGAAAUUCCAAUCGAGCCCGGAGAUAGCUGGUUCUCCCCGAAAUAGCUUUAGGGCUAGCCUCAAGGUGAGAGAUACGGAGGUAGAGCACUGAAUGUCCUAGGGGGUAUUGCACCUACCGAAGACUAUCAAACUCCGAAUGCCGUCAUCUUAUACUUGGGAGUCAGACUGUGGGUGAUAAGAUUCAUAGUCGAAAGGGCAACAGCCCAGAUCGUCAGCUAAGGUCCCUAAAUGUAAGUUAAGUGGUAAAGGAUGUGGGAUUGCACAGACAACCAGGAUGUUGGCUUAGAAGCAGCCACUCAUUCAAAGAGUGCGUAAUAGCUCACUGGUCGAGUGAUCCUGCGCCGAAGAUUUCCGGGGCUAAAACUUACUACCGAAGCUACGGCAUCAGUAAUGAUGGGUAGGGGAGCUUCCCAUACGGGUUGAAGCAUGACCGUAAGGACAUGUGGACAGUAUGGGAGUGAGAAUGUUGGCAUGAGUAGCGAGAUGUGGGUGAGAAUCCCACAGGCCGUAAACCCAAGGUUUCCAGGGGAAGGUUCGUCCGCCCUGGGUUAGUCGGGACCUAAGCUGAGGCCGAAAGGCGUAGGUGAUGGACAACAGGUUGAUAUUCCUGUACUACCGAUAACCGUUUGAGAGAAGGGAUGACACAGUAGGAUAAGCUAAGCACACUGUUGGUUAUGUGUGCCCAAGCAUUGAGGCAGUCAAAGUAGGCAAAUCCGCUUUGAUAAUGCUGGGAUGUGAUGGGGAGCGAAAUUUAGUAGCGAAGUAGCUGAUUUCACACUGUCAAGAAAAGUCUCUAUCGAGGUUAAAGGUACCCGUACCGCAAACCGACACAGGUGGGUGAGGAGAGUAUCCUAAGGCCAGCGAGAGAACUGUUGUUAAGGAACUCGGCAAAAUGACCCCGUAACUUAGGGAUAAGGGGUGCCACCAUCAGGUGGCCGCAGAGAAUAGGCCCAAGCGACUGUUUACCAAAAACAUAGGUUUCUGCUAAGUCGCAAGACGAUGUAUAGGAGCUGACGCCUGCCCGGUGCUGGAAGGUUAAGGGGAUCUGUUAGAGCAAUCGAAGCAGUGAACUUAAGCCCCAGUAAACGGCGGCCGUAACUAUAACGGUCCUAAGGUAGCGAAAUUCCUUGUCGGGUAAGUUCCGACCCGCACGAAAGGCGUAACGAUUUGGGCACUGUCUCAACAACAGACUCGGUGAAAUUGUAAUUCCGGUGAAGAUGCCGGAUACCUGCGACAGGACGGAAAGACCCCAUGGAGCUUUACUGUAGCUUGACAUUGGGUCUUGGUACUACAUGUACAGGAUAGGUGGGAGGCUUUGAAACCAGGACGCCAGUUUUGGCGGAGCCAUCCUUGGGAUACCACCCUUGUAGUACUGGGACUCUAACCAUAGGCCAUGAAUCUGGUCUUGGGACACUGUCAGGUGGGCAGUUUGACUGGGGCGGUCGCCUCCCAAAAGGUAACGGAGGCGCUCAAAGGUUCUCUCAGUACGGUCGGAAAUCGUACGUAGAGUGUAAAGGCAAAAGAGAGCUUGAUUGCAAGACAUACAGGUCGAGCAAGGAUGAAAAUCGGACUUAGUGAUCCGGUGGUUCUGCGUGGAAGGGCCAUCGCUCAACGGAUAAAAGCUACCCUGGGGAUAACAGGCUUAUCUCCCCCAAGAGUCCACAUCGACGGGGAGGUUUGGCACCUCGAUGUCGGCUCAUCACAUCCUGGGGCUGUAGUAGGUCCCAAGGGUUGGGCUGUUCGCCCAUUAAAGUGGUACGCGAGCUGGGUUCAGAACGUCGUGAGACAGUUCGGUCCCUAUCCGUCGCAGGCGUAGGAAAUUUGAGAAGACCUGUCCUUAGUACGAGAGGACCGGGAUGGACGUACCUCUGGUGUACCAGUUGUNCUGCCAAGGGCAUGGCUGGGUAGCUAUGUACGGAAUGGAUAAGCGCUGAAAGCAUCUAAGCGCGAAGCCAACUUCAAGAUAAGAUUUCCCACCGCAAGGGUAAGACCCCAGAAAGACUAUCUGGUUGAUAGGUCGAAGGUGUAAGUGCAGCAAUGUAUUUAGCUUAUCGAUACUAAUAGGUCGAGGACUUGACCAA
rnacentral:rRNA from 1 species